rnacentral:piRNA from 1 species
UGUGGUGGCCUAGGGAGUUUCUUCAGA